UACGUAGGGGGCAAGCGUUGUCCGGAUUUAUUGGGCGUAAAGAGCGUGUAGGCGGUCUGGUAGGUCCGUUGUGAAAACUCGAGGCUCAACCUCGAGACGCCGAUGGAAACCAUCAGACUAGAGUCCGGAAGAGGAGAGUGGAAUUCCUGGUGUAGCGGUGAAAUGCGCAGAUAUCAGGAGGAACACCAAAGGCGAAGGCAGUGUCCUGGGGAGUACCUGACGCUCAGGUGCGAAAGCCAGGGGAGCGAACGGG
rnacentral:rRNA from 1 species